GACAGUAACAACAAACUGUUAAAGUGUUCCUUUUACAAUUUGACCAUGGAUCAUUAUAAGAAAUGGUGGUGUAGAAUGUUUAGCACAUUCCAAUAAUUUUCUACAAAGCUUCUGUUUAUGUGCCCCAUUGUUGAAUCAAUACUCACAAAAUUUUAAUAGGUAAGUCUUGUCAAUAUUUUGUAAUGUAUUUAUAAAAAUAUAUUUUUAAUAACUAUAAUGCAUCUUAUUUUUGUGUGUAGAAUUUUUUAUGGCUAAUUUUGAAGAUAACAUGAUGAUUGCUUUGUAUUGGGGUGGUGAAAUAAUCACUGAGAUGAAGUGAAAGAAGAAGGUUUCUCAAAACCACCAUAGUUGUAGAUCUGGACUAACCAAUGUAUUUUAGAAAGUUCCUUCCUGUAUUUUCUUUUUGUUUGGAUGGUGACAUUUGUGGAUAUGAAUGAAUAAAAGGUCCACG
rnacentral:lncRNA from 1 species